rnacentral:miRNA from 1 species
CAAUAAGCUAUAUCGGCAAUAG